rnacentral:rRNA from 1 species
AUGCACGCUGGCGGCGUGCCUCAUCCAUGCAAGUCGAGCGAACAGACGAGGAGCUUGCUCCUCUGACGUUAGCGGCGGACGGGUGAGUAACACGUGGAUAACCUACCUAUAAGACUGGGAUAACUUCGGGAAACCGGAGCUAAUACCGGAUAAUAUAUUGAACCGCAUGGUUCAAUAGUGAAAGACGGUUUUGCUGUCACUUAUAGAUGGAUCCGCGCCGCAUUAGCUAGUUGGUAAGGUAACGGCUUACCAAGGCAACGAUGCGUAGCCGACCUGAGAGGGUGAUCGGCAACACUGGAACUGAGACACGGUCCAGACUCCUACGGGAGGCAGCAGUAGGGAAUCUUCCGCAAUGGGCGAAAGCCUGACGGAGCAACGCCGCGUGAGUGAUGAAGGUCUUCGGAUCGUAAAACUCUGUUAUUAGGGAAGAACAAAUGUGUAAGUAACUAUGCACGUCUUGACGGUACCUAAUCAGAAAGCCACGGCUAACUACGUG